UCUCCUAGGCGAUGGCAUGGGUCGGAUUGGCAGGCGGCUGGAGCAGGCCGAGUGGCCCCCGGAGACAUUGAUCCCAAGCUGUCAGCUCACAACAGCCCUCAACGAUGUUUACACGCCUGAUGCAGCGAUUAGAUUACUUCCAACAUCACACUCGUCCAGCUGCUGAGAUGGAGUCACUGAAGCUUAUACCACAUCCCAAACAGACAACAGAGUUCGUAAAUAAAUCUCUUGGGCCUUGUUAAAAUUUGCAAGACGAACUGUGCCCACCAAGCUGACAUUUCACAGCCAAUCAACUGUGACUGAAGAAGCAAACCCGGCUUUAUCCAGUUUAACAAUGCAAUUACUGUAUAUAAACAAAACCUGGACGCACGUGCAUUAGAAUUGAAGAAGGGUAGAAAUCCUGGAGCCUUGUGGUCAACUGUGAUAGGCCAGGGUGUUGGGAUUGAAGUUGGGAGCAAGGCCGUGAAGUCAAAGCAAGGAACAGCAAACACUGUCUGCAACCUUACCUCAACAACUAUGAUCUGCUAUGGUCUUUAUUUUGCUUGCACCACAUACUUUUGCUUUGCACUCUUUGCACUCUUAUGUUACCUAGUAUUAGUGCUGUUAAUUUAUUAAAUUAUUAUUAUAUUAUUGAUCAUUAUAUAUUAAUUUGUGUGUUAUUGCUGUCAUGGGCCUGUAAUGAUGAAGCAUUUACUAGGAUAUUGAUGUAAAAUCAGAACUGUAUUAUCAUUAAUGACAUCAGAUUUUAACAAAAAAAAUUCUUGCUUUGAAUCACCGAUUUAAAGAUUGGAGUAUAUUGGAUGUUUCCUCUCAGUUUGUUUUGAUCCUUCACAGCUUGAAAGGAUGCCAAGGUUGCUGAAGAGAAUACAUUUCCAAUUACAGCUUUAGCUGGCAUCUCCCCAAUGGUAGUCCAGGUAAAAUUAACAGGCCAUCAUAAGAGGAUCGUUGGAUCCAACUGUCUUCUUGGCCUGAAGAUAUACACAACGUGCUGGAGUAACUCAGCAGGUCAGGCAACAUCUCUGGGGAAAAGGAUGAGUAACAUAUUGGGUCGGGUCCCUUCUUCAGACCAAAAGUAGAGGGGACGGCAACAGAUGACCAAGGAAGACCAUAAUGGCACAUUGUUGGCUGCAGAAGUGGUGAUAACAAGAGGGAUACAAGGAUGCAAAUAGUGGGACUAGUAGGACGUCUAGGGUGGGGAAAGGGGAGAGGGAAUGCAAGAGUUACUAGCAAUUAGGUAAAUCAACGUUCAUACUGCUGGGCUGUGAGCUGCAUUUGAUGAAUUAAAUAUAAAUAAUUAAUUUUGGCAACAUUCUGAAAUAAAGAAUCAAUAAAGAAGUAAUAUCAAAGGUGCGGAUCUUUUAAUAUUUCUCUUGCUUUUGUGCAGAGUGAUUUUUAAUUAUUCUUAUGUAUCUUGAAAAUCAACUUACUAAAAUUAAUGGAGGUGUUUACAUUUAUGAGGGGAAUAGAUAGGGUUAAUGCACAGAAUAGAUAGGGUGAGUCUUUCCCAGGGUAGAGGAAUCAAGAAUCAAGGGCAUUGGAUUAAGGUGGGAGGGGAAAGAUUUAAUGGGAACCUGAGGCACAACCUUUUUCCACACAGAGAGUGGUGGGUGUAUGGAACGAGCUGCCAGAGGUAGUUGAGGCAGGUUGAGUUUUUGUGUGAAGGAAGGAACUGCAGAUGCAGGUUUAAACCGAAGAUAGACACAAAAUGCUGGAGUAACUCAGUGGGGCAGGCAGCAUCUGGAGAGAAGGAAUGGGUGACGUUUCGGUACAUGAUAGGAAGGGUUAAGAGGGAUAUGGACCAAAUGCAGGUAAAUGGGAUGAGGUUAUAGAUGGGGCGUCUUGGUCAGCAUGGAUGAGUUGGAAUGAAGGGCCUGUUUCCAUCCUGUAUGUCCUGAUGACUCUGACUCUUUAUGACUCCAUGACAUUCUGUGAUUCUACCCUGAAGAUAAAAAAAUAAACUGAUGCUUAGUCAAUAUCCUAAUAGUGACUCGAAAAAAAAACAGUUUCUAAUUUUAUGAUUCAGAGCUGGUUUAGCACAAAAAAUUUAAUUAUGCAUUUUUAGCAGUAGCAGUUGGUGGUCUUAAGUGUCACCUCCAUGAAUGGGAAACAACAAAUGAUUCAUUUCCUUCCUCUCUCAGUUGAUUCCAUGAAAUAUUAGUACUCUUGAAAUAUUUAUGGCGCUGCAGAGCCGUGGAGCUACAAAUUACACAAAGUAUACGGUUGUUGAAGGCUUUGUAGAACAUUGUAAAGUUACUUCUGUCCCGAAGCCGAAUAAAUUAUCUAGAAGGCAGACCAGCAACUAGUAGACAUUAAUUCAAUGCGUUGAACCCUGGCGAGCUGGAGAAAGUUAAUUAGACUAUAAGUUUUAGUUGGAGUUCAAUAUUUAAGUUAGGUUACAAGAGUCAAGAGUGUUUUAUUGUCACAUGUCCCAAACAGAAGAAUGAAAUUCUGACUUUCAGCAGCACUACAGAAUAUAUAAACAUGGUACUCUGUAAACAAUAUAAUAAAUGAAAAGAAAGUACAGUGAUUAUAUAUAUUUUUUAAAUUAAUUUAUUUUAAAACAUGUAUUUAUUUAUUUAUACAUACAUAUUUUCAAGGCUUCAAGGUCAGUUUAUUGUCACGUGUACCAAUUAAGGUACAGUGAAAAUUUGGGUCACCAUACGGCCAUACUAAGUGAAAAGCAACAAGACACACAGCCACAUAAAAUAAAAUUUAACAUAAACAUCCAUCACAGCGGCUCCCCACAUUCCUCACUG